rnacentral:misc_RNA from 1 species
GGAAGGAUCAUUAACAAAUCAUCAAAUGGUGUGGGGGUGGUGCGUCGCAAGACGUGUCCCCCCCCCCAAAUAUUCUAACCUGUGAAUCGCCGGCAAGAGGUGCGAGAAAUCGCACUUGCUGUCGGUUGUGCGAGAAAUCGCGCAAACAUAAACGUCGUCUACACAAUGUCUAAAUACACAAAACACACAAAUACAACUUUUAGCAAUGGAUCUCUUGGCUUCUGUAACGAUGAAGAACGCAGUGAAAUGCGAUAAUUAAUGUGAAUUGCAUUAUCUCGUGAAUCAUCGAGUCUUUGAACGCAUCUUGCACUUUUCAGGUCUCCUGGAAAGUAUACUUGUUUGAGUAUCAUAAACAUUAAAUCCUCUCUAUCAUCAGAGAGAGAGGGAAUUGAGGCGUCAUGGCGUUAUGCCGUGUGCCUUUUAAUUGAUGAGUCAGCAAUCCCAUCGUUUCGGCGGUGGGAGCCUUGCACAACAACCAAAUGUGAGAUACAUAUCGCACAAAGUAGUACGUGAUGAGGUCAACGCCGGCGCGCCCAGAAGCAGCAGCAGCAACAACAACUUGGCGGCUUUCAUAGCUAGCUUUCGUUGCUGCUUCGCUUCACCACCUGAAUAUUGAUCUCAAAUCAAGUAAGACUACCCGCUGAACUUAAGCAUAUCAGUAAGCGGAGGAAAAGAAACUAACAAGGAUUCCCCCAGUAACGGCGAGUGAAGAGGGAAGAGCUCAAAUUUAAAAUCUGUAAGGUUUCCCCUUACCGAAUUGUAGUUUAUAGAAGCGUUUUCUUGGCACGGCAACUGGUAAAAGUCUUUUGAAAAGAAGCAUCAAAGAGGGUGACAAUCCCGUAUUUGGCCUUUUGCCCGUGUCUCUAUGAGGCGCUUUCUAAGAGUCGGAUUGUUUGGGAAUGCAGUCCUAAAUGGGUGGUAAAUUUCAUCUAAAGCUAAAUAUAGACAGAAGACCGAUAGCGAACAAGUACCGUGAGGGAAAGAUGAAAAGAACUUUGAAAAGAGAGUUAAAAGUACGUGAAAUUGCUAAAAGGGAAACGAUCAAAGUCAGUAUUGCGCGAUUGGUUCAGUCAUGAUUUGCUGAUGCGCCAGUGUUGCGAGCCUCACGGCCAAGACACUGGCGUCUGACGGCUAGUCCUGAUGCAUUCCGGUCGCUGCAAGUCAACAUCAGUUUGGCGUCUGCUGGAUAAUGUCUGGAGGAAGAUGGGCAUGCCUUCGGGCACUGUCUUUAUAGACUCCUUACGGUAACAGUGGGCUAGACUGAGGAACGCAAUCCAAAGCCCCGCAAGGGGUUGGGUCUAACUGCGCAUAUUCCGACAACACCAGACACUCAACUUGUUGGCUGUCUGGGGAAGCCGGCGUAUCGUGCAGGGUCGACACCAUUGGAUUAAGGAUGUUGACGAAAUGGCUUUGACCGACCCGUCUUGAAACACGGACCAAGGAGUCUAACAAUUGUGCGAGUGUUUGAGUGUUAAACUCAAGCGCGUAACGAAAGUGAUCAACGAUGGGAUCCGCAAGGUGCACCAUCAGCCAGUUUUUCGCAUGAAGGACUGAGCAAGAGCACAGCUGUUAGGACCCGAAAGAUGGUGAACUAUGCCUGAAUAGGGUGAAGUCAGAGGAAACUCUGAUGGAAGCUCGUAGCGGUUCUGACGUGCAAAUCGAUCGUCAAAUUUGGGUAUAGGGGCGAAAGACUAAUCGAACCAUCUAGUAGCUGGUUCCCUC